UACGGAGGGUGCGAGCGUUGUUCGGAAUUACUGGGCGUAAAGCGCGCGCAGGCGGACAUGCAAGUCGGGGGUGAAAUCCUAGGGCUUAACCCUGGGACUGCUUCCGAUACUGCGUGUCUAGGGACCGGUAGAGGUCGGUGGAAUUCCCGGUGUAGCGGUGGAAUGCGUAGAUAUCGGGAAGAACACCAGUGGCGAAGGCGGCCACCUGGACGGCUACUGACGCUGAGACGCGAAAGCGUGGGGAGCAAACAGG
rnacentral:rRNA from 1 species